rnacentral:rRNA from 1 species
CAUAGCCGCGGGAAUACGUAGGUGGCAAGCGUUGUCCGGAAUUAUUGGGCGUAGAGGGCUCGCAGGCGGUUUCUUAAGUCUGAUGUGAAAGCCCCCGGCUCAACCGGGGAGGGUCAUUGGAAACUGGGAAACUUGAGUGCAGAAGAGGAGAGCGGAAUUCCACGUGUAGCGGUGAAAUGCGUAGAGAUGUGGAGGAACACCAGUGGCGAAGGCGACUCUCUGGUCUGUAACUGACGCUGAAGAGCGAAAGCGUGGGGAGCGAACAGGAUUAGAUACCCCUGUAGUCCCUGUCUCUUAUACA